GAGCGCUGGAGCGGCAGGGUGGGAGUUUGCUGGUCUUAGCACACCCUGCCCCUGAGGGGAGGAGGCCUGGCAAAGUUUUGGAGCCGCUGGCCUUCCAGGGGUUGCCCCCUCUUCCCCCUCCCUGCCCCGUCUGAGUCUCCAGCCCGAAGGGGUAGGCAUCCAGAAGGGUUUCCCAUGGGGAGAAGGGAGGUUUGGUGAAGUUUCUGGGACUCCUGGCAUGGGAUGGGGCCUAGCGAUGCACGCGGGGGCAAGGCACCCGGCGCAGAGGUGCGCGGCGAAGGUGAGCAUCCUGGCCGGGCUGGCUGCGGCUCUGGGCCGGCUGCCUCCCUCAGGUUUCAGGUGAAGCUCAGAUCAGAGCAGUCCGGCACUUCGUGCUAGCCUACCAACCCAUUGCUCCAGCGGAGACCCUGGCAAAACGAGGUUUUCAGCCUGUCAGAAGGGGAGAGUUUUGAAGAAAUGACCCAUCUGCCUUGCUUAUGUUGUUUCUGAGUCCCUCUUCCCGCUUGAAUCUGAGGCUGCUUGAAACGAGCUCCUGCUCUGGAUUUUCUGAUCUCUCCCUUUAAAAAUAAACACAUGAUGGAGCUUUCCUGGAAAAGAGUCAGGAGACUGGACCUCAGUUUAAUAAACAUUUCAUGAGAAAUUCAGGAUAUGAAAGUGAAUUUCUAUUCUUAUUUAUUGUCUGCUCGUAUCAUUAUGCACUGCAGGGACCCAGACCACGACUGAGACCUCUGCUGUAAUGGUAGUUCUUCAAACUAGAAUACUUCAUAAUAUGGUGGCUCCUAUCAUUGGCCUUUUCGAGGAGAAAUGCCAUGGGGAAGCAAAGAGUAAAGUUGAUCCUGGGUGGGAAUUUGAGAGAGGAUUAAUGAAAAGAAAAUGGAAUGAAAGGUGCCAGAAGCCAACCUAAAAAUUUGAAAGAACCUUUGAUGGAUCCAGUUGAAAUCACCUAAAUCUAUUGCUUCAGUAGAAUAUGAAAAGCCUGAAUCAGAAGAUAACUUUCAGAUACCUAUGAAAAGGGUACACAGAGGUGUCCUCAGGGAUGUAUUAACCUUGCAUACAAGCUGUCUCCUCGAUAGCAGUUUUUCAGAAUGUCCUGCGUCCAUAAUCUCAGCAGAUUUAUGAAGCAGACUUUACAGCGUCUCUUUGAAUAUCUGCGUCUCUUGUAGAUCUUAUUUUUCAGUCCUCUUGUAGAGGAAAAGCUGUGUAUGAUUGCUCUGGUAGCUUUGCUUUGUUUGAGCUUUCCGUUUAUGUGGCCACACUAGAAGGAUCCAAAGCAUUGGAAGUAUAAGAAGGAAGCAUAAGGCAAGAAAUUGUCGUGGCUUGUAUUUUUGUUACUGUUAUAAUAAGAAGAAGAGUUUUACUUGUGCAUCCGGAUCCAAAAGCCUUUUUUUUUUUUUUAAUCUAUGGGUUUUUCUGCCCCUUUUAGAAUUCCUUGCUUCUUAGAUUUGCAAGCAACUUUUGAAAUAGCUGAGCUAACCUUUGCUGCUGUACAGAAAGAAAGAUUUCUGCAGUCAAGAUAAAAUGCAUACUCACGUAUUUUAUCAGGAAAUUUUUCACUCCUGGUUAUGGAGAGACGAAGUGUGUCUCAUUAAUAAAAUCAUUCUGUGAUCUGAACUCUGCGUGAUA
rnacentral:lncRNA from 1 species